rnacentral:lncRNA from 1 species
UUUUUCAGGAGAAAACUGAGUAAAACAAAGCCACAUCCAAGGUAAAAAUAAUAUAUCAAGACAUGGAAUUGAAAGAGAAUAUUAUUACUUCAAGCAAAUUAUUGUUAUUUUAAGGACAAACUUACAUUUCUUUCUUUUGCUUGUGUGCAAAUCACUGUUUGCUUUGAUAUUUUUUUCUUUCACAUCAAGGACUGUAUUGAUAUUUUAAUACACAAUCAUAGAAAAAAUAAUGUCCAGAAACAUUGGUUACCAUAUCAAGAGCAAUACUCUUCAUUCAGUGGUAUCAGAUUCACAUGGUCCCCAAUACCAGAAGAGUAAUAACCAAACAGGCAAAACUGUUCUUUCUCCUUUAAAUGCUAUUCAUGGUUGGCCUUUUAAGAGUGUGGAACACAACUGCAAGUUUUCCUUCUAUAGAUCAAGUGGACUUUUAUAUAUUAAGGGUCACGACUGACUUUAUAAAAGUCAUAGGUUUGGGGUGUGUGUGUGUACACAAUUUUUUAAAUAACUAAAGAUGAUCAGAAAAUAGGACUUCAAUCUUUAAAACAAAAACAACAACAAAAUCCAUGUCAAGUGGAACUUUCAUCUGCCUUCACCAUUAUGGCUAUACCUUCUAAGAAAGGGAUUACACAAAUUAUAGUUAAAAGAGAAAAUCUCAUGUA